ensembl:lncRNA
UGUAUUAAUACAUGUGUGACUUGGAAAUGUGUUUUUGCGUAUCCCAAUCCUUGUAGAGUGGGGUCACGGCCAGGGUCUGCCAUUAUCAACGUCUCGGGGAUUCAAACUAUUGAUGUUGAAUUUAACCUUUAUUUAACUAGGCAAGCCAGUUAAGAACAAAUUCUAACCGCUACUUGCUGAUCUAUCUCUCUCUCUCUGCCUGUCUGCCUGUCUGUAUUAAGUAGAUCACUCAUCCAUCUCUUCAGCCAUCACAGUCUCUCAGAGCCUGCACUGGCCUGUGCGAAAGAACAGUCUAUGCUGCUCUUGUUUUUCUGGUUAGGGUCAUUAUCUGACCACCGUGACCUUGUCAUCUCUGGCACCAUGAGAUCAGUUGGAUGAGGUCCAGGUCCUAUGGCUCUGGAAUGCAAAGACGGCCUACUGCCAGAGAAAGACCAGAGAGCUGGAGUGGGUGGAGGGUGAAGGGCUGGGUCAACGUUUAUACGAAGACUUUAUUAUCCACGCAUUUUUCACAUUUGUUUUUUCAUCAGAAAUGAUUCCCUAUGGGUUCCUUGAUUUGUGUGUGUAAAAUAUUUCUGUUCUCAGAUUUUUCAUUUAAAGAUUUUAGAUGUGUAUGAAAAUGUGUUUUAUUCCAAAAUGCUAUAUAUCUGUUGUUUAGCUGGGAUGUAUUUUUUGUAUCCUGUAUAUUUAAAUGAGUUAUCUUAAGAUGAAUGCACUCACUGUAAGUCUCUCUGGAUAAUAGAAUCUGAUAAAUGACUAAAAUGUCAAAUGUAAAUGUUUUACAUACAGAACGCAUAUUACUGUAUUGAAUACAAUUUUUUAAAAUAUUGAUGUCACAAAUGUAUAAUUUGUACAUUUCUUUGAAUACAAUGUAGUUAUUUGUUACAUUUGACUGUGUAAAACCUAUAGCAGUACAACUUAUUUCUCUGAGAGUGAGCCACAUAUAUUGCAUUUCGCAAAAAAACAUGAGUAUUUGUCUCUCUGAAAUGAAACCAGUAAGUGAUAGAUUUGAAACAAAUACAUGUCUGUCAUUGACAACCUCAUGCCAUGAUUAGAUGGUGAGAAAACACAACAAUCUCUUUCAUCAUUUCUUUAAACAAUAAAAUCUAAUUUACCAAUGUUUCUGAAAAUUAAUAUAUAGUGUUUUGGAAUAAAACUCUUCAUAUAGGCGGCUUGAAAUCAUGCACUCAAUGUACAAAAGGAGAAAGGGAGAGAAGGGGGGGGCAGAGAGAGAAAAAUAAUUACAGAGAUAGAGAGAGAAAUGGAACUGUACUGUAUGUAAAAUAAAGAACUAGACAGAAAUGAGGUGGCCAUAUUGGUGUUAUUAGUCAUUUCAACUGGCUGUUUGUGCUCGGCGUUUCUGAUAUUGUGUUUUGCUAUUUCUAUCCUUGAUCUGAAAGCACCAGGCGAUCUGUCCUGGCUUCCUAAUGAAAAACCUUUUAAUCUGAGAGAGAGACAGAGAGAGGUGAGAGAGAACAUAUAGAGAGAGGGACAGGACAGAGAAAAAGGAAUGUGGAGGGAGCGAAAGAAAGAGAGAGGGAGAGGAAAGAGAAAAAGGAAUGUGGAGGGAGAGAAAGAAAGAGAGGGAGAGGACAGAGAAAAAGGAAUGUGGAGGGAGAGAAAGAAAGAGAGAGGGAGAGGAAAGAGAAAAAGGAAUGUGGAGGGAGAGAAAGAAAGAGAGGGAGAGGACAGAGAAAAAGGAAUGUGGAGGGAGAGAAAGAAAGAGAGAGGGAGAGGAAAGAGAAAAAGGAAUGUGGAGGGAGAGAAAGAAAGAGAGAGGGAGAGGAAAGAGAAAAAGGAAUGUGGAGGGAGAGAAAGAAAG